rnacentral:sRNA from 1 species
CUGGACGACCUGCUGCAGCGAUUGCACCACAAUCCUCGGCGCAUCUUUCACCUGCCCCCGCAGGAGGACACCUAUGUGGAGGUGGAUCUGGAGCAUGAGUGGACAAUCCCCAGCCACAUGCCCUUCUCCAAGGCCCACUGGACACCUUUUGAAGGGCAGAAGGUGAAGGGCACCGUCCGCCGUGUGGUCCUGCGAGGGGAAGUUGCCUAUAUUGAUGGGCAGGUUCUGGUACCCCCGGGCUAUGGACAGGAUAUACGGAAGUGGCCACAGGGGGUUGUUCCUCAGCUACCACCCUCAGCCCCUGCCACCAGUGAGAUGACCACGGUAUCCACACUACUGGGCAAGGGGGCUGGGAGGUGUUAGUCUCAGGGCAGGUUGAACAGCUUGAACAUUUUCAUUGGUGGUUCAGGAACAGUUGGGGUUUUCUUGAGGGACUGAAUUUGAAGUGGGGUUGGGUCAAUUAUUUUUUUUAAAUGCUGGGCCAGGCCAGGUGGGGUGGCUCACGCUUGUAAUCCCAGCACUUUGGGAGGCCAAGGCAGGCAGAUCACCUGAGGUCAGGAGUUUAAGACCAGCCUAGCCAACAUGGUGAAACCCCAUCUCUACUAAAAAUAAAAAAAUUAGCCAGGCGUGGUGGUGCACGUCUGUAAUCCCAGCUACUUGGGAGGCUGAGGCAGGAGAAUUGCUUGAACCCAGAAGGUCACGCCACUGCACUCCAGCCUGAGCGACAGAGCAAGACUCCAUCUCAAAA